AACCCCUACGGGAGGCAGCAGUAGGGAAUUUUCGGCAAUGGGGGGAACCCUGACCGAGCAACGCCGAGUGGAGGAAGAAGGAAUUCGUUCUGUAAACUUUUGUUAUAAAGGAAGAAAGUCGGAUGGAGGAAGUGACAUCCGAGUGACGGUACUUUAUGAGAAAGCCACGGCUAACUACGUGCCAGCAGCCGCGGUAAUACGUAGGGGGCAAGCGUUAUCCGGAAUUAUUGGGCGU
rnacentral:rRNA from 1 species